GCAUAUUUCCUGAGUUUUCAGAUGCCAAAAAACCACCACUAAAUGGAAGACAUUAACUACUUGACAGUCAUGAGCACAUAGUCCCCAGAUUUCUAAAGAUUGAUCACCAUCAACCAAUCAGAGAAUUGUGCACCAGUGGAUCACAUAUCCUGGGAUGCCCCUCCCUCACCUGGCCUUUAAAAAGUUUUGCUGAAACCUUUCAAGGAAUUCGGGGUUUUUCUGAGCACAAGUCGUCUCUUCUCCUUGCUGGGCCCUGCAACAAAACUUUCUCUGCUCCAAACGCCAAAGUUUCUAUAUUGUUGGGCCUCACUGUGCAUAGAGCACAGAUCCUUUAUUGAUUGUCACCCCCCUAAUUCAGGAAAAUGACAGUCAAGGAUCCUUAGCUGAAAUAACAGAGGUUCUAACUAUCUUAUCAUAAUUGUGCUACUUGUAUUUUAUUAGUAAAAAAAAAAAAUCAAUUUUGUAUGUCUAAUUUAAUUCUGAUUGGAGGAAGGAAAUUCUAUGAACAUAUGUAGGAAAAAAUUUAAGUUUUAGCUGCUAAAACAAUUCCAAGUAAAAAUAAAUCAGGGCAUAGUUUGAUCACACAGGUAUUCAGAGAGCUGAUUCAGUCCCAGUACACAUGAGCUGGAAAAAGUUGAGUAAACUGCUCAGGAAAGGGAGUUUCAAGUGCUCAGCCACACAGAAACAGCACUGAGACUGAGCAACUGGGCCUAAACCAAGAUCCAGGAGCCUCUCUCUUGGCCUCCAUUGUCUCAACUGCAAAAUCGGGCUAUCACCGAAUCCAAAAACACAGAUAUCAAUCAACUCUUUCGUAAAAUCUGUUCAAAAGAUUGCAUUUAUGAUUCCAAGAUACCUGUCCAUGAAAUCCGCUGCAGGGGAAUGAGGGAGAGAAAAGGAAAGGGAUCUCUGUCAUGUAAGAGGUGGAAGCGUUUUGGGGAAUAGCUCUGGGGGAGGGCUGCCUGGGCUCGAAUCUUGGCACAGCCACUCGCUGGACGUGUGACAGGUCAAGGAGAUCAAUUAUCUUCCUCUGCACCUCAGCUGCAGCAUCUAUAAGACCUCAUGGGGGUUGGCAUAUAGACAGUGUUAGAAUGGAAUGUGGCAGGCGAUAAGUAUUCAGCAGGUAUUAUUUACAUUUAUUCUUCUUUUUCAUACUUUCUACACAGAUAGACUUAACCCAAGGAAACAUUCAAGGUGGACCAGAAGGAAGGAUCAGGCAAAUAGUGUUAUCUAGAUGAUAAAAUGCUGGUUAUAUCUAAGGAGUAUUUCGAUGAGCAAUAAUCAAUAUUUGACACCCCGGGUGGUGCAGACACUGUCCUUCUAGGUGGAUAGUAAGAUGUCAUUCCUCUGCUCAUUCUGCAGAUGAGGAAAGUGACAUUAGAGUAAGUUGUCCAAACCCAUAGGUAACAGAACCCCAAUUCAAUCACAAGUUCAUCCACGCUUCCAAGUCCUGAGGUUACUGUCCUAGAGUGGCCUGGGGCUCUUCUCUGCACGCCUGGGCUGGUGGGCCCUCUGCUGGGCACUUUCCUUUCCACAGCGUCUCCAGGCCUCAGGACCCUUCAGAAUGGGCCCCACCACCUCCAUUCCUGGUCCCAAAGAGUCAAACCAAGCCUUCUGCUUUAUGCCACCCAGUGCUCACCGGCCACAGGGAGGUGGGACGCAUCUGAAAUUUUUCAGAGUAGGAGUUGAGAUGACAUUGCUGACAACACUCGGAUAUAUUUAUUUCCAGCCAUGCCAACUGGCACUCUGGCUCCUCGUUGUGAAUAAUGAGCCUCAUUCAAGUUGGAAGGAUGACUCAUGGCCUGUCAGUGCUAACUAGUGAGGCUUGCUGACUGCAGCCUGAAGCGCUUGGGGGUGUCCGGGGACCCUCUCUUAUAAGUGCCAGGGGGACUCCUACCCUCGCCUCUGGGCCUGAACAUGGCUCAUGGCUCAGGGCUUAGAGUGCCCUACGCCACUUCCCCCUCCGCCCUGCCCACUGUGAGAAGGCAAUACAAGGAGAGAUGCAUACAUGGCCUAAUUAUCCUAACUAAUGGCCUGUCACAGCAGGAGAGACCAUGAAAUCUUUACCUGGGGGAGUGCCAGGCUUGCAUAUUUAUUGUUAAUUACAACAUCGCAUAAAGUUACAAGAGGCUGGAAUUUGCCUUGCUGUGACAUUUAGGAAUCCCAAAUCCCCUUGUAUUUUGUUUAUUUUGGGUGAGUCUUCUUAUUAGGCAUGCUCUCCAGCAGAGCUGACCAUUUGUGGUCACCACACAUCUCAUGUUUGCUUGGCUGCAGCAAGAAGCAGUCUGUUGCAAUCAGUGGUCAUUUGUAUCUGCUUGGAAGAUUCAUAGGGAGUGGCUGUUAUAGCAGAAAACAAGUUUCUAAGAUGAAGUUGCAGGGCUCAGCUCUGCAACCAACCUGCUUGCAAGUAUGUAUGGUCCCUUUACUUCUCUGGUCCUCACUUUUCAAAUGUGGUUUUUUUUAAUUAUGGGUGACUUAGGUGAUUCCUAAGGAUUUUGAGAUAAUCAAGUCUAUCCUUUGGUGUAGAAACAUCCACACCUGAGCCUUGCCAAGGGGAAACUAUUCAGUUUAUUUUUAAGAUUUUAUUAAUUUUUUUCUUUUUUCAGCUGUACCUGUAGCAUAAGGAAUUUCCCAGGGUAGGGGUCAAAUUAGAACUGCAGCUGCCAGUCUACGCCACACCCAUAGCCACAGCCACAGCCACAGCAACGCUGGAUCCUUAACCUACUCACCAAGGUCAGGGAUCAAACCUGCAUCCUUAUGGACACUAUGUCAAGUUCUUAACUGGCUGAGCCACAACAGGAACUCCACUAUUCAGUUUAAAAUCCUGCAGAGAGAAAUGUUUUCUGGCCUCUCCCUUCUUCUCCCAUGGUCCCAGUUCCUGAAAUAGACACGUUUUCCUAGAAGCAGGGUGCUUUCUUGGGCAUGGUCUUCUUGGCACCCUUUCUACAGCAUUAGCUGUGUUCUCCUAAAGCCUGAGCCUAUUAUCAUAAACCCAUCCUGCUCUUCCUCUCCUAUUAGAGCUUCUGGGACUGUGGAAUUAGAUAACCAGGGGCAGAAGAAUUGUCCCACUCCUGCAUAGAAAACCUGACCCUUAGAGGUAGGAGAAAAAGUCAGGGAAAUUGUUUCUCCACCUCUCCUCCCAGGCUAAACCCCAUGUGUGCUGCAGGGGAUGCCGUAAAAAGUGAGUAAGAUCAAAGACUUUGGAAACAUAUGGACAAAGUUUCAGUUCCCAGCCCCACCCUUUCUACUUGUGUGUUAUUAGAUGAACACUCUCUCCAAGUUCUAUAUCCUUGUCAGUGGAAUAAGGAUGGAAAUAUCUGCCUGGCAGGGUUUGAAGAAUAACUGAGAAGAACACAAAUAAAGGGCCUACGAUCACUCAGACAUUUCUAAGAAAUUAUCAGAACCAAAAUCUAAGUCCCCUGAUUACAAACCAGGUCCCUUUUUCUGCAUUUUGAAGGUAGGAUGGACCCUUCCUUUCAAAUGAGGGUCUCCCACCUCUUCUGCCCCCAUCUUUACUUCCUACUCAGAGGGGGUGCUGUCUGGACUCCCAGAAAUACAGGCCCAUUUGAGGAUCCCAAGCGUGAUUUUGAAGGGCACUAUUUAAGGUGAAUCCUGACUGCAGGUGGGGCAUUCUGGGGCAGGCAGGUUGUCAGUAGUUUGAAAAUCCAGGGAGGCCCUGGAAAUGGAAGAUCGUGGUACACUCCGGGGAGCAGAAAGGGGAAUGGUGCUAUUCUGUUUGCACAAAGACCUGCAGGGCCAUCCUGACUCUGAGAGAAAUGCCAUGUCACCUAGAGACCAGAUAACACUCAUUCACCACCCCAGUCUCUCAACGAUGGAAACCAGCAGCCCUCUAAAACGUUUCACUAGGAGUUCCUGUUGCGGCAGAGAGGAAAUGAAUCUGACUAGUAUCCAUGAGGGUGCGGGUUUGAUCCCUGGCCUCUCUCAAUGGUCAGGGAUCUGGCGUUGCUGUGAGAUGUGGUGUAGGUCGCAGAUGAUGCUCAGAUCCUGUGUUGCUGUGGCUGUGGUGUAGGCCAGCAGCUGUAGCUCCUAUUCAACCCCUAUCCUGGAAACUUGCUGGUACAGUCCUAAAAAACAAAAACAAAACAGAGCAAGUUUCAUUUGGCCCACACAGUGGUUUUGAAAAUUCAUAUCAGUUGGCAAGAUUUAAAAAUUCAGAAAAUGGAGUUCCCUGGUGGCACAGUGGGUAAUGACCUGGAGUUGUCACUACUGUGGCUCUGGUAACUGCUAUGGCGAGGAUUUGAUCCCUGGCCCUGGAAAUUCUACAUGCUGCAGGUAUGACCCCCCUCCCCCCAAAAAAAAAUAUAUAUAUAUAUCAGAGAGUACACAUCAGAAUUCAGGUUUACAGUUUCUUUUUUUAAUCUGAAUAUUCCUGCAUGGCAGCAAUUGUGCAGUGUGGCGUAGAUGCAGCCCUUUAGGCUAGGAGCUGUCUCCCCAGCCUCUGUCCUUCCCACCAUUAUAACUCAUCUUCUUAAUGUGUUACUCAGUGGCUCUGCCAAGGACCUGAUUCAUUUAACAAAUCUUAUGCCAGGUACUGUGCUGGGAACUAGCACAAAACAGACUAGUGAGAUAUGCAAACCAUAACAGCAGAACCCAGGAGCUCUAGCAGAUAUAGACAAAGGGCUGUGGGAAUCCAGAGAUGGGAAAGACCAGUAGCCUAACAGAAAUCACACCUAUCAUGCAUCGAGUGCUUACUACAUGCCAAGCAUUUUGCCUGCCUGAGGAAUCACUGAUGGAUUCUCAAGAAGGCCUCCCUUCAAGAAUAAGAAAAGUAUCAGCUAGAGAGAGAUGUUUCAGACAGCAUCGCAUAUUCAAAGGCUUGUAAACAAGGCAAGUGUGUUCAGUGAAGGAAUAAAAACUGUGAUGUGGUUGCAGCCUGAGUUGCAUGAGUGGCUGGGACAAGAGAAGGAGCUAUAAACUAAGUUUGGGACUAGAGUGGGCCUGAGCUCUAUCUUCUGAUGACCAAUGGUAAGCCAUCCAGAUUUCAGCUGGCUGCUCAUGGCCCUUCCUGAGGGCAGGCUUAAAUAGAAGUAAGGGCUCAAGGAUCCUGAAAAGGAGGAGGGGCAAAGGCAUGGAGCCACUGCUCUGUCUGGACCUUUGGGAAAGGAUGCUGCUGUGAAUUCACCCUAGGCUGGUCCCUACCAUCCCUCAUCCAACUCUCCUAUAAAGUAUGUUCAGGGAAUUCAGAGUUGCGUAUAUAUUAGUCUGAGUCCAACAUGAUAAGGAAGGUAAAGCCAGUGCCAAACAUACUGACAAUGCAUUUGAAACUGGAUGUGAUCCCUUUCCCUCUGUCUUGGAGUUGAUCAUACCCCCCAUCAGAACAGAUGUUUGAGUCUUUGUAAAUGGCUAAGAAUGUACAUCUCUCCACUCAAAGCCGUGCUUAAAAUACUUUUCAUAAAUAUGUGCUUUCAUCAUUGCUCCUUCUAGCAUUUUCUCUAUUUUUUCUUAAAUCUUUCUUUGUGAAUCACUUCUUUUUUGGCAACACCCCUUCACACUAAUAUGCAAAGGGGGUCACAGAGCAGGUCUGGGGGCACUUUGCCAUGCAGAUUAUUUAGGAAAAGCAACACGAGAGCCCUUUGGGAAAUUCUCGCAUGUAACUAAAUCAGAAAGUAAUAUCCUGUUUUGUCUGCACUCUUCACUAGUCCUCAUGUGUCCUCUAGAGGAAUCCUGGAGUUUCUCCCCGCUGGCCUGGCUGAAAGAUAAACAAACCUCUGGCUCCCAGCCGGACCCUAGAGCCGUCCUAGGGAAUUACACUGAAAACAAAGUGUUGUCAACAAUGAACCAAAAAGAUGGAAACAAAACCUUAAAUUUCAAUUCUUGGAGCAGAAAUUUUGAGUUCUGCAUGAAGGACAAGUAUUUAUAUCAAGAGUAAAUAGUUGACUCAAAUUUUUCAUUUAUGAAGGUCUGUUUUUUAGCUUCCAGUACUUUCAAGAACUUUCCAGAAUACUCGCUGUCAAUAUCAAGCAGUUGAGAGAAAAUAUAAGAGCAAAAAUCCACUGGUAAUUCAGCAAGCAUUUUUAAAGAAUUUUAAUUCUAAUAUGUAUCUGCCCAUUGAAAAUGGCAACACACAUACAUGUGAAACAUCUCUCUUCUGCUUGGUCUGAAGCAUUGUGGUCAAUUACUUAGAAAGCAUUUUGAUCAUGGAGACCUUUGCAGGAUUUUUCUUUUCCACACUCCAUCCACAACAGGAGUCCUCCACCUACAGAUUGAAAAUCACCAUGACUCAGAAGAAACAGCAAGGGUACAAUGUUACAAUGUUUUGUGUUUCUUUUAGGUUUGUUUUUCUGUUGUGUCAAAGAACAGAAUUCACUGUGAUCUCCAUAGAAAACUAUUGGGCUGUGGUGAAAGUCCUGUAACACUGUGCUUUCUGUCUGCCUCCCUCCUGUCUGAGAUAUGAGUCUCCCCAAAGGGUAGGAAAUUUUGAACGUCUCUAUUAUCAUUGACUUCAUCCUUGGAUAGUCUUGUUUUAGGGUCUGUGGUGCCAUGCUUAGCACUGAAUAUGAAUAAAGAGCUGAUAUCACUUUCAGGAGCUGGUAUUCCAGGAAGGAUCAGGACUUAUUAUAAGAAGAAACAUAGGAAGGAGUUCCCAUUGUGGCACAGCAGAAAUGAAUCUGACUAGUAUCCAUGAGGAUGCAGGUUUGUUCCCUUGCCUUGCUCAGUGGGUCGGGGAUCCAGCUUUGCUGUGAGCUGUGGUGUAGGUCAGAGAUGCAGCCCGAGUCCCACAUUGCUGUGACUGUGGCAUAGGCUGGCAGCUGUGCGCUGAUUAAACCCCUAGCCUGGGAACAUUCAUGUGCCUCAGGUGCGGCCCUAG
rnacentral:lncRNA from 1 species